CAUCCAACUCCAUGCAUGUUGUCCUUCAACACUAUGAUGGUUUAUCAAAACUAACCUAAUCUAUCAGAAACAGUGACAACUACUUCUGCUAAUAGAUUUCUUCUGACAAUAUUUAUAACUAAUAUGCAACAUGGCUGCAUUUUCAAAAAUGCGUGACAAGUUAUAUUCUCAAAAUAUGUGUGACAUGUUUCUAAUUCCUAACCUACAUGACAGCCUUCCCAAGUCCUUUGAUAAACCAUCUUUCUUUGCAGCACCUGAAUCUUCUCACGAUUAAAAAAGCUACAAACACUAGUAAACAUACUGGUCCCCAAGCAUCUUAGUUUUUGAGGCAUGCCAAUGUAAGGCACAAAUGGGUUUAUGUAACUUAACAUAGAGUUGAUGUAAAUCUGAUGAACACAAACUCAUCGUACUACUAGAAUCCAUGCAUGUAUUAACCUCAUAAAAAAUCAAUGAAUCUAAACCAUAAAAUAAAACCAAAAUAAGCAAGGAAAAGCAAAGCAAUGAAUACUAGGAUGCCACAACGUAUCUGUUCAUUCAAAUUAGCAAUAUGUCGUAUCAUGAAUAUAACAUAGGUUAGAACAACAUGUGGAAACUCAUAACUAUCAUGCGCUUUCGUUUCAAAUCAGAGACUAUACAGUCAACUCCAAGAGCAAAGAUUGGUUGUUGUAUUUGGUUAGUUGGAGAUAUUCUCAAGCUGCUUGAAGAAAAGGCAACUCCUCUUGUGCAGCAGAGUCUUCACCUUCCACCACCAUCCAGUCUAGCCUUGGUCCCUGAACAGUAAAUUCAAAUUCAAAAAAUCUGCACUUGCAGGAGGACAUGAGGUAUAACUUCCACCGGACCAGUUGUGGCAUUCGAAACAUGG
rnacentral:lncRNA from 1 species